rnacentral:lncRNA from 1 species
GAGAAAGAGAGGGUGAGAGAGCGAGGGAAACAGAAAGAGGGGGAAGGAAACAUAAUGAGGGAGAGGUGAAUAAGAGACAUAUACCAAGGUUUUUCAACAUUGAAUCAAAGGAGUUCCGAAUUAAGGUAGAUGAUCUAUCGUAUGGAGGGUCCAUUCUAAUCACUGAGAAGGUUAAAGAGCGUCUUUUCCAUGUUUCCUUGGAACUUAGCUAUGUAGAGUGGUUAAUCAAAGAGCUGCAGUUAAUCCUGGAAAACAAGGUACAGAGUGUCUUCAGAAGGUACAGGGGGGAUUCUUACCAAGUGUGGGUAGAAAAGGGUCAUAACUGGAAAGGAUACUAUCUGAGACUGACCAAGUGCGUACAUGGAUUCUUGAAGUCUGUGGUGAUCCCCCAGGGUAAGAACGAUAGCGGGUGGAUUCAGAUCAAAGAGAAUUUAGAAGGAAUUCUAAAAGGGAAAAACAGAACGAGUAGACACGGGUUCACAGAAGAAGAUGGCAACACAGCUGUGAGUGUCAGAGACAGAGUAUUGGGCAAGACUUAUAAAGAGGCAGUACAGAAUGAGGGGGUGUUACAAGAGCAGGAAAAAAGGUAUGGCAGUUCUGAUGAUAUGACAAACUGGAGUUGGGUGGUGGUUUGUGAAAGGUUAGUACUGCACCAGCCUUGGGAGGGUAUUCGAAAGGCGAUGGAAGGCCGGUUGGAUAAAAACGUUAAUUUAUUCCCUUAUCAAAUUAAUAGGGCCUUCUUCUCUUACGACAGCAAAUCAGAGGCGAUGAACAUAUGUAGCAGUGGAAAACUGGCGGUGGAGGGACAAACGGAUGUUUUGCUGUACAGCUGGGAACACGGACUGAAAAAUUAUAUCCCCAAAAUCGUUAGCUACGGUGGCUGGAUCGGAACUAACGGGCUUCCUAUGCACUGGUGGAGCAAGGAGUUCUUCCAGCGCAUCGGCUUGGAAUGUGGGGGACUGCUUCAGGUGGACCAGCGGACCGAAAACUACAAGUACCUGUUCGAAGCAAGAAUUAAAACCAGAAAAAAUUUCAUUGGGUUUUUACCGGAAAUCUUGACCCUUACAGAAGGAACAAAAAGUUAUCAAGUGAAAAUCAGACCAAUUUCUCCGGCAAUCCGGCCCACCAGAUCACGGCAUGCCCAGCCUAGGAUCUCUGCUAAUGGGACUGUUCGGGCAGUAGCUGGAGGCGAAGUUCUGACAACUCAGAGACAGUGGAGGGUUGUUGAAAAUUCCCAGGUGGACUGGGCUCGAAGCAAUAUUAAUGAGUUUGAUUGGCUCGAGAAGGAAAAUCGGAGUUGUUUCAGCGGAACUGCGCAGAACCUGAAGUUUCAAGGUGAUGAGACUUCUAUCAUGGCGGCAGAGAAUUUAAUUCUCCCUCCUUUUAUGUCGGCAUUAUCUGAUAAGGCCACAAGUGAUAAUGCGUUGACGAUGGGCCCAAUUAAUGG